rnacentral:lncRNA from 1 species
GGCGCCCUGGGGCCAGCAGACCUGCUCGCAGGCCUGACCUCGGCGAGCUGGGCGCUGCCGCCUCUGUGCGGGGGGAGCUCUGGCUCAGGCUCCCCAGUGGUCCCGAGGGAUUUGGGGGUGCUCCCCUAGCGUGAGCAGAAACUCUUUGUGACCUUGUUAAAGUGGUCCAGCCUCCUCAGGCCUCGUCUUCCUCGUUACUGAUGCUUGUCCUGCCCACCCCGCGAGAUGGGGAAUCCUAAAGCUCCCUCUCGUGUCUCGUUAGCGCCCUGGGGUUGCGCUGUGGCCCGACAGACAAUGCUGCUCGCUGCUGGAGGCUUGCAAGCCCAAGUUAUGGAGUCAGACUGUCCGGGUUCGAAUUUUCGUCUCUGCCUUGUAGUAGGGUGACCUUGGGCGAGUCACUUAAUGCCUCUGAGCCAUGACUUCUUUACCUGUAAAGUGGGCAGAACAAUAGCUUCUAUGCUGUGGGCUUAAAUGACAAGCAGAACGCGUUGUCAGACUUAGAAUAAAUGCUCAAAAAAAGGG